CCCUUAGAUGUCCUGGGCCGCACGCGCGUUACACUGAUGCAUUCAACGAGCUUAUAACCUUGGCCGAGAGGCCUGGGCAAUCUUGUUAACGUGCAUCGUGAUAGGGAUAGAUUAUUGAAAUUAUUAAUCUUGAACGAGGAAUUCCUAGUAAACGCAGAUCAUCAAUCUGCAUUGAUUACGUCCCUGCCCUUUGUACACACCGCCCGUCGCACCUACCGAUUGGAUGGUCCGGUGAAGCCUCGGGAUUGUGGUUCUUGCCGCUUUAUUGUAGCGUGACCGCGAGAACUUGUCUAAACCUUAUCAGCUAGAGGAAGGUGAAGUCGUAACA
rnacentral:rRNA from 1 species